AAUGUUAAGAAGAAGCCAUCCGCUUCUCACCUUACAGCUAUAGCUCGUAAGGUUUGCAAAGGUUCUUUUUUUAGAGAUUUUGCGGAUGGAGUAUGUCCAUCCGCUUUUUAUAUGCCUU
rfam:Caloramator quimbayensis strain TSBA 833 genome assembly, contig: Ga0105845_109